rnacentral:tRNA from 1 species
GCCUUUGUAGCUCAGGGGUAGAGCGCUUCCUUGGUAAGGAAGAGGUCGCGAGUUCAAUUCUCGCCGAAGGCU